rnacentral:rRNA from 1 species
AUUGAACGCUGGCGGCAGGCCUAACACAUGCAAGUCGAGCGAGCGGCGGACGGGUGAGUAAUGUAUGGGGACUGCCCGAUAGAGGGGGAUAACUACUGGAAACGGUGGCUAAUACCGCAUACUAUCGGAUAACCCAUAUGGGAUUAGCUAGUUGGUGUGGUAAAGGCUCACCAAGGCAACGAUCCCUAGCUGGUCUGAGAGGAUGAUCAGCCACACUGGGACUGAGACACGGCCCAGACUCCUACGGAGGCAGCAGUGGGGAAUCUUGCACAAUGGGCGCAAGCCUGAUGCAGCCAUGCCGCGUGUAUGAAGAAGGCCUUAGGGUUGUAAAGUACUUUCAGCAGGGAAGCGGUACCUGAAGAAGAAGCACCGGCUAACUCCGUGCCAGCAGCCGCGGUAAUUC